GAUGAAUGCUGGCGGCGUGCCUAAUACAUGCAAGUCGAGCGAACGGACGAGAAGCUCGCUUCUCUGAUGUUAGCGGCGGACGGGUGAGUAACACGUGGAUAACCUACCUAUAAGACUGGGAUAACUUCGGGAAACCGGAGCUAAUACCGGAUAAUAUUUUGAACCGCAUGGUUCAAAAGUGAAAGACGGUCUUGCUGUCACUUAUAGAUGGAUCCGCGCUGCAUUAGCUAGUUGGUAAGGUAACGGCUUACCAAGGCAACGAUGCAUAGCCGACCUGAGAGGGUGAUCGGCCACACUGGAACUGAGACACGGUCCAGACUCCUACGGGAGGCAGCAGUAGGGAAUCUUCCGCAAUGGGCGAAAGCCUGACGGAGCAACGCCGCGUGAGUGAUGAAGGUCUUCGGAUCGUAAAACUCUGUUAUUAGGGAAGAACAUAUGUGUAAGUAACUGUGCACAUCUUGACGGUACCUAAUCAGAAAGCCACGGCUAACUACGUG
rnacentral:rRNA from 1 species